rnacentral:rRNA from 1 species
UACAGAGGGUGCGAGCGUUGUCCGGAAUCACUGGGCGUAAAGGGCGUGUAGGCGGCUUGAUAAGUAGGGGGUGAAAUCUUGCGGCUCAACUGCAAGGCUGCCUCCUAAACUGUCAGGCUUGAGCACAGUAGAGGCAGGUGGAAUUCCCGGUGUAGCGGUGGAAUGCGUAGAGAUCGGGAAGAACAUCGGUGGCGAAGGCGGCCUGCUGGGCUGUUGCUGACGCUGAGGCGCGACAGCGUGGGGAGCAAACAGG